rnacentral:siRNA from 1 species
UUUUACUGAUCGGGUUAUGGA